UGUAGGGUGUUGACUGGUAGGGUUAGGGUUAGAUUAAAUAGACACGUUCUUGCAAAGUUACUUAUAGUCAGUAGAAUAGCUGUUGGGAGACCAACACGAGUUAUAUGAAGCAGACAGUCUACUAAUACUCUUAUGAGAGUUUAUUGACAUGUAGUUGCAACAUUACUUAGUGUCAACAGAAUGUUCAAAAGGGACCAUCAAAAUAAAGUGUUACCUGUUUAUUUUUCCUCUUCAUCGAAUUUUCUGGGUUCUUCACUCGUCUCGUCGUCAGACGGUCAAGCAACUCGCAGCAAGCAGGAUUAUAAGCUAAGGAUAGCUGCAUUAGCUACCCUUAACGUUAAACCACAAUAUUGCAGAAUUUGUUUUGCCUCCCAAAAUAAUUUGAGAAAUGGUGGAUUCGCAGCAAUGGGUCUACAAGCAUCCUAGAAAUCUUGGAGUUCCCCAGGCUUCUAGAAAAACUUGGCAUGAUGCUAAAAGGGAGAGUGCUUUCAAAGUCCUGCCCACUCUGCUUCCCCAAUCAAUAUUCAAGAAUGGAGGAAAGGUCUUCAGACCCACAACCAGAAUCCUGGAAGUAAUUCAUUUGAUGUACAACCUGUGGGGACCAACACGGUGAUGCAUUCCUGUACAUUUUGUGCCUUGGUGACGAGACAGCGACAUCCCACACCUUCGCCAUUGUUUCGGGCCAUGCCGUUGAAACGGACUUGUUGCUUGAGGUUGUUUAUCUUUUUCAAGUCCUUUUUUUGUGCUUGAUGUUAGCUACACUAACAUCUUCCUUCCUGGGAAUUUCUCCAGCAUGCAGUAUAUCUUAUUGAUGGACAUGAGUCUUCAUGUGUGAAGUAUUUGAGGGCACCAGUUUUUUCUGGCCACUUGUAACGUUUUAAUUUUUUGUCACAUGUAUUGUCUGUUGUAGGUCUCUUUGUUUGGCUUAGGUUUAAUGGCACAAUGUUUGGACUGAUUCUCAUGUGGCAAUAAUCAAUUUCAUAGUGUUAUGAUGCUGCAAUGUUGACAAAGAAUAGGAAUCUACAGUACCUAGUUUACAAAGUUUUGUUUUUUAAAGAAACUGAUCCAUAAAAAAACAUUUUAUUUGUGUCUGUAGGGACUGG